AUUGAACGCUGGCGGCAGGCUUAACACAUGCAAGUCGAGGGGUAUAGUUCUUCGGAGCUAGAGACCGGCGCACGGGUGCGUAACGCGUAUGCAAUCUACCUUUUGCAGAGGGAUAGCCCAGAGAAAUUUGGAUUAAUACCUCAUGGUAUGUGAGAAUGGCAUCAUUUUCACAUUAAAGUCACAACGGCAAAAGAUGAGCAUGCGUCCCAUUAGCUAGUUGGUAAGGUAACGGCUUACCAAGGCAACGAUGGGUAGGGGUCCUGAGAGGGAGAUCCCCCACACUGGUAAUGGGACACGGACCAGACACCUACGGGAGGCAGCAGUGAGGAAUAUUGGACAAUGGGCGCAAGCCUGAUCCAGCCAUGCCGCGUGCAGGAUGACGGUCCUAUGGAUUGUAAAUUGCUUUUGUACAGGAAGAAACACUGGUUCGUGAACCAGCUUGACGGUACUGUAAGAAUAAGGAUCGGCUAACUCCGUGCCAGCCGCCGCCGUAAGAC
rnacentral:rRNA from 1 species